ACACAAGAUCAAGGCCAUAACAGAAGUACUCACAGUGAGGCCCUGUCAGGUCCCAAUGAAUCUGCAAAUUCUGCU
rnacentral:ribozyme from 1 species